rnacentral:rRNA from 1 species
GUGUCAGCAGCCGCGGUAAUACGUAGGGGGCAAGCGUUGUCCGGAAUCAUUGGGCGUAAAGCGCGCGUAGGCGGCCCGGUAAGUCCGUUGUAAAAGUCAAAGGCUCAACCUUUGAAAGCCGAUGGAUACUGCCGGGCUAGAAUCCGGAAGAGGCGAGUGGAAUUCCUGGUGUAGCGGUGGAAUGCGCAGAUAUCAGGAGGAACACCAACAGCGAAGGCAGCUCGCUGGGACGGUAUUGACGCUGAGGCGCGAAAGCGUGGGGAGCGAACAGGAUUAGAACCCUCGUAGUCC